rnacentral:rRNA from 1 species
AGAGUUUGAUCCUGGCUCAGGACGAACGCUGGCGGCGGGCCUUAUGCAUGCAAGUCGAACGCACUCGACCUUCGGGUCAUAUGAGUGAGUGGCGAACGGGUGAGUAACACGUGAGAAACCUGCCCCGAAGACUGGAACAACCCGGGGAAACUCGGGCUAAUACCGGAUACCCCCAACUAAUCGCAUGGUUAGUUGAGGAAAUGCUCCGGCGCUUCGGGAGGGUCUCGCGGCCUAUCAGCUAGUUGGUGAGGUAACGGCUCACCAAGGCAACGACGGGUAGCUGGUCUGAGAGGACGAUCAGCCACACUGGGACUGAGACACGGCCCAGACUCCUACGGGAGGCAGCAGCAGGGAAUCUUGCGCAAUGGGCGAAAGCCUGACGCAGCCACGCCGCGUGAGGGAUGAAGGCUCUAGGGUCGUAAACCUCUUUCAGCAGGGAAGAAAAUGACGGUACCUGCAGAAGAAGCUCCGGCCAACUACGUGCCAGCAGCCGCGGUAACACGUAGGGAGCGAGCGUUGUCCGGAUUUAUUGGGCGUAAAGAGCUCGUAGGCUGUUCAGUAAGUCAGGUGUGAAAACUCGAGGCUCAACCUCGAGACGCCACCUGAAACUGCUGUGACUAGAGUCCGGUAGGGGAGUGUGGAAUUCCUGGUGUAGCGGUGAAAUGCGCAGAUAUCAGGAGGAACACCAGCAGCGAAGGCGGCACUCUGGGCCGGUACUGACGCUCAGGAGCGAAAGCAUGGGGAGCGAACAGGAUUAGAUACCCUGGUAGUCCAUGCCGUAAACGUUGGGCACUAGGUGUGGGAUUUAACU